rnacentral:rRNA from 1 species
UACAGAGGGUGCAAGCGUUAAUCGGAAUUACUGGGCGUAAAGCGUGCGUAGACGGUUGCGUAAGUCAGAUGUGAAAGCCCCGGGCUCAACCUGGGAAUUGCAUUUGAGACUGCGUAGCUAGGGUGCGGAAGAGGGAAGCGGAAUUUCCGGUGUAGCGGUGAAAUGCGUAGAUAUCUGGAGGAACACCGGUGGCGAAGGCGGCAUCCUGAACCAAUUCUGACGCUGAGUGAGCGAAAGCCAGGGGAGCAAACGGG